rnacentral:rRNA from 1 species
GACGAACGCUGGCGGCGUGCUUAACACAUGCAAGUCGAACGGAAAGGCCCUGCUUUUGUGGGGUGCUCGAGUGGCGAACGGGUGAGUAACACGUGAGUAACCUGCCCUUGACUUUGGGAUAACUUCAGGGAACUGGGGCUAAUACCGGAUAGGAGCUCCUGCUGCAUGGUGGGGGUUGGAAAGUUUCGGCGGUUGGGGAUGGACUGGCGGCUUAUCAGCUUGUUGGUGGGGUAGUGGCUGACCAAGGCAUUGACGGGUAGCCGGCCUGAGAGGGUUAACGGCGACCUGGGGACUGAGAGACGGCGCAGACUCGUACGGGAGGCAGUAGUGGGGAAUAUUGCACAAUGGGCGGGAGCCUGAGGCAGCAACGCCGCGUGCGGGAUGACGGCCUUCGGGUUGUAAACCGCUUUCGACUGUGACGAAGCGUGAGUGACGGUAAUGUGUAAAGAAGCACCGGCUAACUACGUG